GGCGAUAUCACGUCGAAAUACCGGUUCUGGUACGAUCACCGAAGUUAAGCAACGUUUAGCCUUUAGUACCUAGAUGGGUGACCGCUUGGGAAUACCAGGUGCUGUAAG